GCGACCACGCCAGGAGUCGAACCUGGAAUCUCUAGAGAAUGGGAUGACGGUGAACCGAAAUCUAGCGCCUUAGCCAUUAGGCCACGCGGCC
rnacentral:tRNA from 1 species